rnacentral:rRNA from 1 species
AGUUCGGAUUGCAGGCUGCAACUCGCCUGCAUGAAGCUGGAAUUGCUAGUAAUCGCGGAUCAGCAUGCCGCGGUGAAUACGUUCCCGGGCCUUGUACACACCGCCCGUCACACCAUGAGAGUCGGGAACACCCGAAGUCCGUAGUCUAACCGCAAGGAGGGCGCGGCCGAAGGUGGGAUAAGCGACUGGGGUGAAGUCGUAACAAGGUAGC